ACUCCUACGGGAGGCAGCAGUAGGAAUCUUCCGCAAUGGACGAAAGUCUGACGGAGCAACGCCGCGUGAGUGAUGAAGGUUUUCGGAUCGUAAAACUCUGUUGUUAGGGAAGAACAAGUACCGGAGUAACUGCCGGUACCUUGACGGUACCUAACCAGAAAGCCACGGCUAACUACGUGCCAGCAGCCGCGGUAAUACGUAGUGGCAAGCGUUGUCCGGAAUUAUUGGGCGUAAAGGGCGCGUAGGCGGUUACAUAAGUCCGAUGUUAAAGCGUAGGGCUCAACCCUAUAAAGGCGUUGGAUACUGUGAAACUAGACUUCUGGAGAGGUAAGUGGAAUUACCAGAGUAGCGGUGAAAUGCGUAGAUACUGGUAGGAACACCCAUAGCGAAGGCAGCUUACUGGACAGAGAGUGACGCUGAGGCGCGAAAGUGUGGGGGAGCAAACCGGAUUAGAUACCCUGGUGAGGUCAG
rnacentral:rRNA from 1 species